rnacentral:misc_RNA from 1 species
GUAUUUAUUGUGUUAUCCACAAGUGUUACAUUCUUAAACUGAAGCGUUUGUUAAAAACAUAGACAAGGCUUUCGAACCGACCGAAGUCAGCCCUACGACCAUGCCUACAAUAGGUGCACAGGGGUUUGAAAUGGACAGAGCGUGCGACACCAUUUUGGCAUGCAACAACUCCUUGUUAUUUCGUUAAUGAUCCUUCCGCAGGUUCACCUACGGAAA